rfam:Saprolegnia parasitica CBS 223.65 unplaced genomic scaffold supercont2.64, whole genome shotgun sequence.
AAUUUGGUGUUUUUAAACACCACCCAUCUCCCUACGAAAUGACAU